UCCCUGGUGGUCUAGUGGUUAGGACUCUGCACUUUCACUGCAGAGGUCCUGGGUUCGAUCUCUGGUUGGGGAA
rfam:TPA: Bos taurus chromosome 29, whole genome shotgun sequence.